GGAGUCUCACUCUGUCGCCAGGCUGGAGUGCAGUGGCGCAAUCUCGGCUCAUGGCAACCUCCACCUCCCAGGUUCAAGUGAUUCUCCUGCCUCAGCCUCCCGAGUAGCUGGAACUACUCAGGCACCCGCCACCAUGCCCGGCUAAUUGUUUGUAUUUUUAGUAGAGACAGGGUUUCACUGUGUUAUCCAGGAUGGUCUUGAUCUCUUGACCUCAUGAUCCACCCGCCUCGGCCUCCCAAAGUGCUGGGAUUACAGGCGUGAGCCACCGCACCCAGCCGGAAACUGAAUAGGUAUUACAAGGAAGGAACAGUCUCUGUUUUCCUGAACUUCCUCCCGUUCAAGUUAAACUGGAGAAGAUCAUGCCAGGAGAAAAAUAAGAAAAACAUGCUCUCUCUUCUCUAAUGAUUGGACAGACUCCUACUCCAAAACAGAAGAUCUCAACUCUGGAAGGGAGGAGAAACAAGACCCCCAGGACUUGUCAAUGGCACACAUGAAAGACAGAAAACACCAGAAGCCAGUCUUCAGCCUGCUGGCCCAGCCAUGGCCACUGUAACGUACGGCUAAACCCCUGCCCCGAUCAGCUCUCAAGGCUCUGAGCCAACUGCCUAGACCGUCUAUUUGAGAUCCCUGAGAGUUUCAACACAGGGCAUGGCUGACCUCUCCACCGUGUCAUUUCCAGUAAUGCGGCCUCACUGAUAGCAGAAGUUCGGAGAGCUCUUGUCAGAGAGGCCAGCUGGCACCAUGUGAGUCUUACCCAGAGGGAAACCUGACAAUCUUCCAGCAUGCUCACCAGACUGGGGCACUGACUUUUGUCACUUGAUUCUCAACUCACAGUCUCAAGAUGCUGGUGCUAAUGUACAUUGCAGCUGACACUGGAGUUUAUUUUUAUAACUGCUCUUGCCUCAGAAAAAGCUCCAUCCCAGUACGACUUCCAGGACAGGGAUGGUCUGGAUGCUGCAGUUAGGACAAUGAUCAUCUCGUUCUCUUAGUGGUUAGGAAUCCUGUGGGCUUAUGGAAUAAGCUCGCUGAAACAGACAGUGACAUCCACGGUGACACUGACCGAAUUGUGCUCCAGUGGCCUAGAGAGUGCCUAUUAUUUAUCUCAUUUCUGUUCUGCAUAAUAACACCAACCAAACCGCUAAUGAAUGAAUAUUAUUACAUGCUUUGGUAGGAACGCAAAGGCAAAUUGGGCUCACUGUAGAGAAUAUCUUGCUCCUCAUUUUGUAUUAAAAUGCCUAGACGCCCCUCAAGAGACCAUGUCAAGGAUGAAAUUUAUCCACUGCCUGCAUUUGCUAAUUUGAAAGAGUUCUGAUUUCAUCUGCCGGGCUUAAUAUAGAAAUUCUUUUAACCUGAACAGAUACACAGAAAUGUGGAAUUUAUUCAAUGCCAUUUUCUUGAUUUAUGUCAGGAAAUAUAUAUGGCUAUGCUGUCAUCUUUUUAUAUAUAGACAUCAAUAUAUAUAAAUAUAUAGAGUCAAGUCAGAAAUUCUGAAACCACAUUGCACUUAGCCCUUACAGCAUAAUGCUUUCCAUAUUCUUCACAGUUUGUUUCCCUGAUCCUUUAGAGAGAGCUACUGUGUUUAAAGUGUAAACCAUUUUUACAGAAAAAAUGUAUUACAAUUCUAUAUGAUAAUUCUCAAAGUUCAGGAAAAUAAUCUGAAAUAAACAUUCUAAAUUGAGGAAUGAAUAAUAAAGACUCAUCAAUUGGGCUGGGAGCAGUGGCUCACGCCUGUAAUCUCAGUACUUUGGGAGACCGAGGCAGGCGGAUCACCUGAGGUCAGCCUGGC
rnacentral:lncRNA from 10 species